GACGUAGGGCGCGAGCGUUGUCCGGAUUUAUUGGGCGUAAAGAGCUCGUAGGCGGCUUGUCGCGUCGGCUGUGAAAACCCGCGGCUCAACUGUGGGCGGGCAGCUGAUACGGGCAGGCUGGAGUUCGGUAGGGGAGUCUGGAAUUCCUGGUGUAGCGGUGAAAUGCGCAGAUAUCAGGAGGAACACCGGUGGCGAAGGCGGGACUCUGGGCCGAUACUGACGCUGAGGAGCGAAAGCGUGGGGAGCGAACAGG
rnacentral:rRNA from 1 species